UACGUAGGGCGCAAGCGUGUCCGGAAUUAUUGGGCGUAAAGAGCUCGUAGGCGGCUUGUCACGUCGGGUGUGAAAGCCCGGGGCUAACCCCGGGUCUGCAUUCGAUACGGGCUAGCUAGAGUGUGGUAGGGGAGAUCGGAAAUUCCUGGUGUAGCGGUGAAAUGCGCAGAUAUCAGGAGGAACACCGGUGGCGAAGGCGGAUCUCUGGGCCAUUACUGACGCUGAGGAGCGAAAAGCGUGGGGGAGCGAACCAGG
rnacentral:rRNA from 1 species